rnacentral:rRNA from 1 species
UACGAAGGGGGCAAGCGUUGUCCGGAAUUAUUGGGCGUAAAGAGCGCGUAGGCGGUCCGAUAAGUCGGCUGUGAAAGUCAGGGGCUCAACCCUUGAAAGCCGGCCGAUACUGUCGGACUAGAGUCCGGAAGAGGCAAGUGGAAUUCCCGGUGUAGCGGUGAAAUGCGCAGAUAUCGGGAGGAACACCAAUGGCGAAGGCAGCUUGCUGGGACGGUACUGACGCUGAGGCGCGAAAGCGUGGGGAGCAAACAGG